AGUGCUCCGGGUCAGUGUACAGGAAGGAAAGCUUCAUCUUAGCUGUAGGAGAGCUGUCCUGACCCUGCUGCCAAAAAAAGGAGACCUGACGGUGCUGAAGAACUGGCGCCCUGUGGCAUUGCUGUGCACAGACUGCAAGCUGCUCUCAAAAGCGUUAGCCUCCAGACUGGGGAAGGUGAUGGAGCAGGUGGUGCAUCGUGACCAGACGUACUGUGUGCCUGGGUGCAUGUCGGCAGCAAGACUAGCCAUUUUACUUACAGCAGUGGACUAAACCAAAAUUACAUUCAGGUUGACCUGUGUACCCCCCGUUUCUCUGUCCCUUCCAGGCCUGCAGACCUACAAGAGGACUGGAUGACCCUCGCUGUCACUCUCUCCAGGAAACAGACACUUAGACAUCGCUGGACUGCACGAGUGUCACCGUCCUGAGCCCUGGGUUUCCCCCUCGGCGAUAAAAAUUCUUUUUUUUCCUCUCUUUUCUUUUUUUGCUUGUUUAUAUAAACAUCUCACUGCUAGGCAUGAUCUAUAGAACCACAGUAUGUGAGCAUCACUCUGAGCUCCAGUUAAUCCAGUAUGGAUGGUUACAGUGUUUCCCUCCAGCUCCUGCAGUCUGACAACCUCUUCUCCAGCUGUGAGCACCAGACCUGAGACACAAGAGGCCCGGGGGGGUGGCCCGGGUUAUUUCCCCCCCUUCUCGGGUAUCGCCCUCCGGCCUUCCUCCGCUGCCAGUGCACCUCCAGGCUCCAUCCAGGACAUCCUUGGAAGGUGACUUCAACUGACAACGGCAACUGUGACGUGGAGUUCCUGAUCGGGAUUUGAACCGAUAACCCCCCACCACGGGGCAUGGCAUCUACCAGCGAGCCACAGGAUCUCACAAGGCUUUCUUAUUUUUUUUCGACAUUUAUCUCUCAGAUUUCCAACUUGCUGUGUGAAAAGCAGUAGCUUGAGCAAGAUUUGAACCCACAACCUUUUGAGUGCAACUACAUUGCUUUUCUUAGUGAGCCACCGUGGCUCAGGUCCAGCACCUUUUUUUUUUGGACAUUUGAUUGAUGAUAAUAAGGAUGCCUGAACAUGAGUUUAAUAGUGAAGAUAUGUGCAUAAGCUACUAUGGCUUGUUUACAGUGAUCUUUUUUGUUUGGAUAUUUGACUUUGAGAUUCCCAGGCUUUCUACUGUUUCUACUGAUGCUUCUAAGACUCUUAGACCAGGAUCAUUAGAGGAAGAGGAAGACUGACUGUUCAGACCUGAAUAAACGGCAGUCUAAAUAAUACAGUCCUGAAAGCUUCCUGUUUUCUUCCUAAUAAUGCAUGAUUGUGCAUUCAAACAAUGGAAAGUGAAAUGGGUGAAAAGGGCUUAUGUCUCAAUUUAAUAAUCGAAUCUGCAAAGUGAAGAUUUACACCUUUUUUAGUUUGCAUGGUUGCAAUGUUUGAUGCUGAUUUCUCAGUCAGUGCUCAUUCUUGGGAACUUGAUUUGUGAGUGUCUGUGGUGCACCUCAGAUAAUAAGUAAUGCAAUUCCUUCAUUCUCAUAUUGACAAGUUUUCUUGAAAUUCAUUGAUGGCUUUUUUUUGGGUUUGCCACACCAGGAUUUCCAGUGAGUCCAUCUGGCCACCUAUAUGAAAAAAAUCUGGGGUGCCACUGUCUGGAAGAAAUCAGUACCCUUACUAAUCUGGUAGUCGAUGGCCAUGUGUGAUAACUACAUGUUAUUCCAGCCUCUUUCAUUAGAUGUUCUUUAUUAUUUGUAACAGACUGUAAUGGUUCACAAACCUCUACCCACAUACCCACCUACCUACCUACCUAUAUGUCUUCAAAUAGACACCAUAGUGGUGCAAAUUGAGGUUUGUGAGCCAUUGCAGCCCCCUGUGGUCAAAACUGGUAUAGCAUGAUAGAUUUGAAAAACUAGUAUUAUUUUCACCAUGAACGUGCUAAAAUAUUUCAGUUCUCAGUUGUGGUUAACACAUUUUGUUUUACUUUUAAUACAGAAUGUGUUAAACAGCAAACAUUAACACAUAAAAUGUGUUUAAGGCGAGGGUAACUCAUGUUAUUUAACACAUCAGUUUUUUGAAAGUGUGGGAGUUUCAACUUCAGCCCAAAUCAACACACCUGAUUCAUGUAGAAAUUAAAUGGACAUGGUGUUGUGGAUUACAGUUGCUGCUAAACUUACACGAAAUAAGGUAAAUAAAAAUAAUCAUAUUAUUACUCAUUAAAUUCUCAUCAUCUUGUCCUCACAGGAGGUGCUGGAGCCUGUCCCAGUGUGCAUUAGGUAGAAAACACAAAACACCAUGGACAGGUUGUCACUCCAUCACAGUGCAAGCACAGCCUUCAGUAUCUCCAACUUGCCUGUAGACACCAAAAGGAGAACAUGCAAACUCCCUAGUCUGGGAAUCGAACCCUGGCCUUUCUUGUUGGGAGACAACAGCACUACCCAGUGCACCACCAUGCUACUGCCACAGAACUCUAAAUCUCCAUAUUAAACGAUGACCAGUCCUGAUAUUUGCUAACGUUUGUGAUGGUUAAAGAUCCACUGGUUCUGUUCAGCUUCAGUCUGUCUCUGAAUCUCUCACUGUCAUAGUCUGUAAUAAUCUCUCCUCUAAUGAUCAGACUGUUCACUAUCUUUAUAUCUACAUUCUCAGGUCCAUAAAACUACAGUAUGUGA